rnacentral:rRNA from 1 species
CCUGCUAAAUAGCCAGGCCGGCUUUUGCUGGUCGCCGGCUUCUUAGAGGGACUGCGGUUGCGUCUAGCCCGCGGAAGUUUGAGGCAAUAACAGGUCUGUGAUGCCCUUAGAUGUUCUGGGCCGCACGCGCGCUACACUGACAGAGCCAGCGAGUUUUUCACCUUGGCCGGAAGGUCUG